rnacentral:lncRNA from 1 species
UGGGAAUGGAGGCAAGGGGAAAAAUAAGAAACAUGAGGAUUUAUCCUCCUUGUCAGUGGUCGAGGUCAGCAAGAGGUCCAAGACCUCUAGCCUUGAAGCCCUUAAGAAGAAAAGCCUACUUGGUCAGGGCUCCUAGCUGACCAAUAGUUAAGUAUUUUUGGCAAGAAACCCGGGGUUGUCAAGAGUUUUGUGCCUCUAGCGCACGAGCCCGAGGUUAG